GACGAACGCUGGCGGCGUGCCUAAUACAUGCAAGUCGUGCGAACCACUUCGGUGGUGAGCGGCGGACGGGUGAGUAACACGUGGGCAAUCUGCCUGACAGACCGGGAUAACGCUUGGAAACGAGUGCUAAUACCGGAUACGCUCUUGAAUCGCAUGGUUCGAGAGGGAAAGCUGCCUUUGCAGCACUGUCGGAUGAGCCCGCGGCGCAGUUAGCUAGUUGGUGAGGUAACGGCUCACCAAGGCGACGAUGCGGAGCCGACCUGAGAGGGUGACCGGCCACACUGGGACUGAGACACGGCCCAGACUCCUACGGGAGGCAGCAGUAGGGAAUCUUCCGCAAUGGGCGCAAGCCUGACGGAGCAACGCCGCGUGAGUGAUGAAGGCCUUCGGGUUGUAAAACUCUGUCUUCUGUGAAGAACAAGCCUAUGAAGAGAAUGCUUAGGCCCUGACGGUAACAGAGGAGGAAGCCCCGGCUAACUACGUGCCAGCCGCCGCCGUAA
rnacentral:rRNA from 1 species